AGUCGAGGGGCAGCAUGGUCUUAGCUUGCUAAGACUGAUGGCGACCGGCGCACGGGUGCGUAACGCGUAUGCAACUUGCCUCACAGAGGGGGAUAACCCGUCGAAAGACGGACUAAUACCGCGUACACUCCACCUUGGGCAUCCAAGGAGGAGGAAAUGAAAUUCGCUGUGAGAUAGGCAUGCGUCCCAUUAGCUUGUUGGUGAGGUAACGGCUCACCAAGGCGACGAUGGGUAGGGGAACUGAGAGGUUGAACCCCCACACUGGUACUGAGACACGGACCAGACUCCUACGGGAGGCAGCAGUGAGGAAUAUUGGUCAAUGGGCGAGAGCCUGAACCAGCCAAGUCGCGUGAAGGAUGACUGUCUUAUGGGUUGUAAACUUCUUUUAUACGGGAAUAACAAGAGUCACGUGUGACUCCCUGCAUGUACCGUAUGAAUAAGCAUCGGCUAACUCCGUGCCAGCAGCCGCGGUAAUACGGAGGAUGCGAGCGUUAUCCGGAUUUAUUGGGUUUAAAGGGUGCGUAGGCGGCCUGUUAAGUCAGCGGUGAAAUCUAGGAGCUUAACUCCUAAAUUGCCAUUGAAACUGGCGGGCUUGAGUGUAGAUGAGGUAGGCGGAAUGCGUGGUGUAGCGGUGGAAUGCAUAGAUAUCACGCAGAACUCCAAUUGCGAAGGCAGCUUACUAAGGUACAACUGACGCUGAAGCACGAAAGCGUGGGUAUCAAACAGGAUUAGAUACCCUGGUAGUCCACGCAGUAAACGAUGAUAACUGGGCGUAUGCGAUAUACAGUAUGCUCCU
rnacentral:rRNA from 1 species